rnacentral:rRNA from 1 species
AUGAUGACGAAACCAUGGAAACGACUCUGGCCAGGGGUGGAGGACCACCUCGGGGCCCUCCCAAACUAUCUUCUCUGCUAUCUUGUGUCGUUACUGCCUUCCUGUGGGUCUGUGUGCACGUGCGCUCUUGCUAAGCGCUGGAGCACUCUCUGGAAGUCUGUGCCCGCCUUGUGCAUCGAUGACCCCGACAGCUACGAUGCCGUUAGUGGCUCCAGCAGAUUUGUGAACGAGUUGCUUAGUCUUUGUGACCCAACUCCUCUAAAUGUAUGUGAUAUCAGUUCCGAUUGUCAGGAGACUGCGGCUGACAACACCGAAUGGGCCAACGAGGCAUUCCAACAUAUGAAGCCAUGCUCUGGUAUGCUCUAUCAUCUCAAGUUCAAGUGCUUAUAG